GAUGAAGAACGUAGCGAAAUGCGAUAAGUAAUGUGAAUUGCAGAAUUCAGUGAAUCAUCGAAUCUUUGAACGCACAUUGCGCCCGCCAGUAUUCUGGCGGGCAUGCCUGUUCGAGCGUCAUUUCAACCGUCAAGCCCCGGGCUUGUGUUGGGGACCUGCGGCUGCCGCAGGCCCUGAAAUGCAGUGGCGGGCUCGCUGUCACUCCGAGCGUAGUAGUUACAUCUCGCUCUGGGCGUGCUGCGGGUUCCGGCCGUUAAAAGCCUUAUUUACCCAAGGUUGACCUCGGAUCAGGUAGGAAGACCCGCUGAACUUAAGCAUAUCAAUAAGCGGAGGA
rnacentral:misc_RNA from 1 species